rnacentral:lncRNA from 1 species
CCACCCAGGUGUCUGCAGAGUGACCCUAUCUGAAACCUACACCAACCACAGAUGGACCAACGCUGCCCCGGGUCCACACGCACAAGGUCUCAGCUAUGAAACCCAGGGACUCUGCGGGGGAGCGAGCUCACCAGAUGCGGGGCGCGUUCCUCCUACUAGUCAUCCAGCGCCCCGGGGCCCGGAGCUGCUCCCAGGGUCCUCUUCAGUGCGCCAGGAGGAAAGUCGAGGCAGCAACAACCACUACACCCGGCCACUUCUCCAGAGCUAUCCUCCACUCGCAGCGCGCCAGGCUGGGGACCAGCUCGCCUGCUGGAGUCUCCAGUUGUGCAGCUGAGUGAACAGGCUCGCGCCGAGAGAGGGCAACCGGUGAGAUGGCAAAGUUGGGUACCCUCUGUUUAGGUCCGCGCGUGCGAACCAGAACACCCCAAAGAAGGAUUGCACGUGCCGGGACCUCCCCGCAGUGGGAAGGUGGGAUACAGAUGCCGCCG